rnacentral:rRNA from 1 species
UACGUAGGCAGCAAGCGUUGAUCGGAAUUACUGGGCGUAAAGAGUGUGUAGGCGGCUUUGCAAGUUUGGUGUGAAAUCUCCCGGCUUAACUGGGAGGGUGCGCCGAAAACUGCAAGGCUCGAGUGCUGGAGAGGAGAGCGGAAUUCCUGGUGUAGCGGUGAAAUGCGUAGAUAUCAGGAGGAACACCGGUGGUGUAGACGGCUCUCUGGACAGUCACUGACGCUGAGACACGAAAGCGUGGGGAGCAAACAGG